rnacentral:lncRNA from 1 species
UAUAUCAGCAAGUUGCUUAACCUCUCUGAGCUCCAGUUUCCUGCACUGUAAAAUGGGGAAUCAUAAUAUCCAUCAAUCUCCUUAUAAGAUUGGAAAGAUAAAGAAACUAUAUGUAAAAUUCUUAGCACAAUGUUCGAUCCAUGUGCAUGCUCAAUAAGUGGUUAUUCCUCAAAUUAGUUUCAUUUGUAUUGGGAUAAAUCAUUGUUCCCUCCCAUAGGUACAUUUUCUAUUUAACCAGUUGCCAGUUCUCAGAAUCUUCUCCUGCCCCCCACACCACACAGGCUGCAGAUUGUAGGGAUAGAUGACAGAGGAUGGGAGGCUCAUCUCACUCUCUAUUUCAAUACGUUCUACUUCAACAGCAGGGCUUGUUUUUAUUACCUUAUUGAGUUCACAUGGGUAGCUUUUGGCAGCAGCAAUUAUUCUCCUUAUUACUCUACAGAUGAAGAAAUAGAUUUGGCUCUGAUAUGUUGGAUUUUCUCAAGCAAGUCCCAUAUCGAAAAUAAAAGCGUUUAAUUCUAAUCAGAGACAGCCGGGAAAAAAAGAAAAAAAAAAAAAACCUCCUGGCUUCCUGCCUCUUGAAAGCCUCUCCUUCAAAAUGUUUUGAGGACCUGCAAUGUGCCAGGAAUAUUACAGCAAAUGAGUCUUCUUUGGUGGUCCAGCCACACCAGCCCUUAUACUUCACAGCGUGAGUGAUAUAAACAUGAAGGCCAGGUGCGGCGGCUUACACCCGUAAUCCCAGCACUUUGGGAAGAGUGAAGUGGAGGAAGAGGUACAUUCAACUACAGAGGAGGAAACUGAGGCCCAGAGGGGAAAAGUGACUUGAUUGACAAAAAUUGGAUUCUGGUCUUUGUUCUGCCAAAGGCUGCCAGAACCUUUCCUUGUAGUGCAAGAACAACCACACUGCUGGAAGUGAAAUUUGCAAUCUGCUCUAUCAGAUGAUUUCUGCGCAUGGGCUGUUACUAUGUUCAAAGCAUUAAACUGCCUGAAAGUGGAUUAUUUACAGAGCUUCUCUCUUCCCAGAGCUACGGAUAGGUGGCAAUUCAGCCUCUUCACCCUAAUGCACACUUUCUCACUUUCCACCGAGACUCUUUGUUUGCUGACAGCAUCUGGCUAUCCUGAGUACUUGCCUUAGCUGGCACAGUUCUCUCCAAUCCCUAGAAGAAACAGCCUUCACCUACACUCCAGGGAUGAAAUAACAUUUCAGCUCAAAGCUAGCAACCUUUCUCUGAAAUGGUGUCACACCCAGACAGAAAAAUAAAUGUGCUGUUUCUUCUUAGAUGAUGAGAAGUCAGGCUUUCAGGCAGACUUUUGACACAGGGAGGAUCAAGGUUUGACUGCCUUUGAGUAAUCCUUGCAGAAAAAACAGCACCUAAUUGGACAAAGGAAGAAAGGAACCAGCUGCUACUGUCAAGAUUAUUUAAACACCCAUCCACAGUCAAAAACACUGCAUUGUUUCAUUACAAGUGAAAUUUGAUUGCCACUACAUUUCCUGCUGGCCUCCCCUCUAUGCAAAUUGGGGAGAAGAAAGAAAUUCAUAAGGCACCAGAACCCAUUUGGCUUCUAAAUGUACUGUUUGCAUAUAGACAUCAGCAGCCUGAAUAAAUCCUAGCGAGGAAUGUCAAACUGACAACACUGGCUACUUUUCUAUUGUUCUCCCUGAAAACAUCGUUUUUAACACGUUCACAAAGGCAAGCUGGAUUCUGUUUUAUCAGUGUUUUAGUAAAAGACAAGUGGCGUGGUGGUUCAGUUGUGGGUAUCGGACAUUAAUGAAAACCAUUCUGGGAGAGUUCACUUUAUAAAAGAUUAAAAUAAUUCAUCAACUUGCAAAA